GCUUUAGCAUUACAUGGUAGAUUCAGUUUCUGCUUUCCUUCACAGUAGUGAGCUUCUGCGAGAAGUCUUGGCUGCAACCCCUCCCUCAGUUUCUUCCUCCGAGUCCUGCCAAUAGGAAGCUUCAUCCACACCUGGGUCUCUCACCUUGAGUCUCUCACCACGUCCAGUGCCUAGGCUUUCAGCUAACCAAGCAUAUAUCAGGCCGUGUACACAGGAAAAGAGUGCAAGGGCUGCAGAGUUGUCCAGAGAUAUAGUCAGGUUGAAGCCGGAACACAUGUGUGACUGAGCAAAUGCCCAGCCUGGGACAUCCCUGCUCUUCAGGGGAUGGAUUCAGUGAAACAGAAAUUAUGGAGAGCGCAAGGAGGUUGCUUGCAAGCCAAGAGGCCAACUGGCCUUUAUUAUGCCCACUGACCCAGACCUGACAGUCUCCUGCCUGUCUUUCAGUCACAAUCAUCUGCUCAUUUCUAGCCACCAUUUAUGCUUGUUUUUGCAAGAGCUUGCCUCAUAAUCAUCCUGCCACUGUCCUCUUCUUUGAUUGUGUCCAUCACACUCAUUUCCCUGUCCUGUUCACUUCCCUCAUGCAGACUUUUCAGCACAGGUAGGCAACCCAAGCUAAUUUGUGCUCCUUCCCGUUCAUUUCUUGUUUUUUUCCUAGUUUUUA